rnacentral:tRNA from 1 species
UAGGCAACGGGUUUUGGUCCCGUUUUUUGGAGGUUUCGAUCCUUCCGUCCCAGA